rnacentral:sRNA from 1 species
AAAUAAAUAACUAAAAUGUAAUAUCGUUUUACAUAAAGUCGAUUUUUUACAAAACUGUAUUCAAUAAAAUUUGUCAUAAUAUAAUUUCGAUUUAUUUUUUUUUUUAAUAUCAUUGAUUAUUUUGAUUUCUAUUUAUAUAUAGAUAUUUACAAUAUAAGGUAACCACAAUUUCUCGAGAUUCAAGGGGUAAAUAUUUUCGAAAUAUUAAAAAAAGAAUACAGGUUAAAAGGUGUUUUUCAUGUUCCCAGAAGCUUGAAGAGAAGAUGCAGGCAAAAUGGACUGGAAGAAUUUUCAACAAUGGUAACCUAUUAUUUUCCACGAUCGAUGGACCUUACUAUCAUUUUUUAAUUAAUAUUUAUUAUUCUCCUUAAAAUUCUCAAGAUCAGAUGAACAAGCCAUAAAAAUGAUAAAUGUCUUCAAUUCCGGGACAUUCUGAAUGUUGUUAGGGCAUUUUUGGAAACUACAUAAUCAUCUAAUACAAAUGAUUUUCUUUUCGGAAUCUAUAGAUGUUUUGGAGUUCAUACACACACUGACAAGGCGAUUAGGAUCCCUUUUUUAUAAAAUUUCUUUAUUUAGAACGAUUUGAUUCAUACCUAAAAAUUUCAUGGCAUAAAUUUGAAAUAAGUCCCUGAAUUCGGAGCCGCUAUACCAAUUUUAGCAAAAAGCCUAGCCUAGAAAAAAUCAUUUAAAAACUUUAAAAAUAAAACCAAAACAACGAGUCGGGUCUUUAGGUAUAAUUUGUAGACGGGCUUCAUAAACUACCAGUUACUAAAAUUGUAGUGGGUCAUAAUGGGUCAGCGCUGAGUCUAAAGUGAAAGUCUCAAAACUUCCGCCAAUUUAUUUUAGUAUAACUAUCAUUAAAUGUGUCGGGUCGGGUCGGGUCAAGUUCAAUGUGGAUAACUCAAAAUUCAAACAAGUACUGAGUUGGGUGCAACAGUUUGUAGCUGAUGCCUCAGUUAGAGUCGGGUUAGAUAUAGAAGUGGACUAAACUAUCUAAAAAUGUACUUUUCCAAAUAAACAAACAAUUGUAGAAAAGUUUCUACUUUGGAACCCUAACCUGCAUACGUUCCUAACUUUAAAUAACGUUUACAACGGAUCAGAGCCAAUACAACAGCCACACAACUGGUGCGGGGUCUUAAUAGUUUGAAUGGAUGUAGAAACAUCAAUUUUUGUUUCGGGUUUAGAAGCCAAAACAACUUUGAAAUACUUCCUCAAUAAAUUGGUUAAGGGUCGGGUCGGGUCAGGUCGUGCAAGUUAACAAUCCACAUGGUGACCACACCCAAAAUAUUUCUCGUAAUUCAAAACUAUAAAUUAUCGCCUGAUCAUAGUUAACAAAUCACAUGGUGACCACACACCAAAAAUAUGUCUUGUAAUUUAAAACUUUAAAUUAUCGCCUGAUCAUGGGAAUCUAAAAUAUUUGUUUUAAUAAAUGAAGUAAUGCGAAGCGAUCGAUUGAUUUUGCUCUUAUUUUUAAUAAUUCAAGAAAUAGGAUUGAAUAAGUAAAGUAACAAGAAGCCAUCAGUUUGCCUUGUCAAUUAUUAAUUUUUAAAAAUCAGUUUACACGGAAACCUUGAACACAUCAGUUCGGGAACGGAUCAUCUUUUUUAGUCCUUAUAAAAAAUCGGACUACGAACCUCACAAUAUUAUAAUUAUAAAACGUAAAGUUAAUAGUAAAUGUGUUAGAAAAUAAAAGUGUUUUUAUUAAUAAAUAAAUGAAAAAAAUAAAAAUAUUUUUUUUAACCUACUAAAACCGGAAAACGUUAAUUUGCACAUGAAAAAUGCCUUUAAAAUUGAUUUGUUCUUUGAAUCGAGCCUGGUUAGGUUGUGUCGUAAAGACGAGACAUUCAAACUUCGAAUGAAAACACUAGUAUCGGGGUCUAAAUGUUUGUGCAAUGAUACCAAAAAUAUCAUCACAAGGGUCGGGUUGGGUCGUAAAGAUUUAAGGCAAAUAGGCUUUAUAGCCGUUAAUUUACCAAGGGUCGUGUCGGUUCAGAUAUAGAAGAGUAGAUGUCCACACUCUAUAUGGGUCAAUGUACCAAUCCGAGAAUAGGUAAAGGGUCUUUGAAAUAAUAUGCAAAUAUCACUCUUUGGGUUGGAUCGGGUCGGAUCGAAUCACGAAGUUAAAGCAAAACUGCUUCGAAUGGCUUCUUGAAUUCUGGGUCUAUAAAUCAAUUUUACAACUGAAAAGGGCUCUCAAUGAGACUGAAGUGAUACAAAAAUGUGUCGGGGUCUUAAAAGCUGAAGCAUAUUAGCUUCAUAAACGAUAACUUCUUGGG